rnacentral:sRNA from 1 species
GCUAGCAGAGAAGUACCGAGAGUGCCUAUCUAACAAGGAGAAGAUUCUCAAGGAGAUUGAGGUGAAGAAGGAGUACCUGAGUAGCCUCCAGCCCCGCCUCAACAGCAUCAUGCAGGCUUCCCUUCCGGUGCAGGAGUACCUGUUUAUGCCAUUCGACCAGGCUCACAAGCAGUAUGAGACAGCCAGACACCUGCCGCCUCCCCUCUAUGUCCUCUUUGUUCAGGCCACUGCGUAUGGGCAGGCCUGUGGUGAGUAUGGGGCCUGGGUGAGGACAAGGGGCUAUGGGAGCAGCAGCUGUGGCCGAGUGAAUCAGUUGGAAGCAGUACCUGCUCAGGAAAUUUCUCAGUCCUGCCCGAAGCCCUCAGGUGACAGAAGCUUUCUUCCCUCUGCAUUGCCCAGCAUGGCUGCUCUAACCAGCUGGCCUAAGGCUGGAUUAACCUGAUGGGUAUUUCACAAUGGGUGGCUUUGAGUCAUUCGUGAGCCUGGCUGGACAGCUCUUGGGUGCAGAACCCAGGCAGCCUGUCUG